UCCUGAGCUCAAGUGAUUGGCCCACCUUGGUUUCUGAAAGUGCAGGGAUUACAGGUAUGAGCCACUGCACCCAGCUUAGCCUAUUUAUUUUGUCAACCCAGGAAAUGGGUACUUUGUCUAAUAAUUACAUCAAGUCUGAGGCCAUUGACCGGAGUUCAAAUGGUCCCAGCCUAGAUGAGGAAGAUUGUAGCCCUUUCUUUCUCCCAUUGUAUAUACUGAUGACUUUAAGAUACUUUAUUCUCUACCUCUUGUGUCUCCUGCUAGGAAAUACAAAGGGUGAGAGUUACAACCUCUAGGUUACAAGCCUUAGUCUAAUUAGUAUACCAAAGUGAAUCCUCUAUCAAUCUCACUUCUCCCAGUUUUCAUUGAAAUGUCAAUGGUGUCCCCCUAGUCUCUUAAAUCAUUCAAUUUCUACUUCCUCUGUCCUUUUCUCCUUUUGAUACACCGUUUAGUACACCAUCUCCACUCACCUCCAUGGCCAUACCUUCAAUUUUAUUCAAAUCAGGAACCACUUCUGUUCAGUUUCCCAUUUGUCAAUUUUGGCUUUUGUUGCUAUUGACAAUUUGACUUCCUCUUUUCCUAAUUGAGGAAAAGACUAUUUCUUUCUCCUGCCUGAUUGCCCUGGCCUUCUCCAUCCAGUUUUGUUCCCUUGCUGGUGAGGACUUGUGUUCCUUUGGAGGAGUGGAGAUGCCUUGGCUAAGCUGACUGUGCACUUCCAGGGCUCACAGGGGUCUGGCCAGGAGACUGAGCAAGGGGACCAGGGAGGUUGUGCAGAGGCUUCUGCACAGCAAGGCAGACAUUCUUCUUGGAGCCCCCAACCCAAAUCAGGUCUUCCACCUCCUCUUCCUAAAGACCCUUUACUGCU
rnacentral:lncRNA from 1 species